AUUGAACGCUGGCGGCAGGCCUAACACAUGCAAGUCGAGCGGAUGAAGGGAGCCUGCUCCUGGCUUCAGCGGCGGACGGGUGAGUAAUGCCUAGGAAUCUGCCUGGUAGUGGGGGAUAACGUCCGGACACGGGCGCUAAUACCGCAUCCGUCCUGAGGGUGAAAGUGGGGGAUCUUCGGACCACACGCUAUUUGCUGAGCCUAGGUCGGAUUAGCUAGUUGGUGGGGUAAAGGCCUACCAAGGCGACGAUCCGUAACUGGUCUGAGAGGAUGAUCAGUCACACUGGAACUGAGACACGGUCCAGACUCCUACGGGAGGCAGCAGUGGGGAAUAUUGGACAAUGGGCGAAAGCCUGAUCCAGCCAUGCCGCGUGUGUGAAGAAGGUCUUCGGAUUGUAAAGCACUUUAAGUUGGGAAGAAGGGCAGUAAGUUAAUACCUUGCUGUUUUGACGUUACCAACAGAAUAAGCACCGGCUAACUUCGUG
rnacentral:rRNA from 1 species